UUCCUUUUUAUUGAAGGAUUUCUCAAAUAAUUAUUUGAGGGAUGCCCUUCAGGGUACCCUACAAUUUUUUUUUCCAAUGAUCCAAACCAUCUAUUUUUUAGGUCUUCAUUCAUAGAUCAUCAUCACAAAAAAUUAGAAAUAUUGGAAACUGUUUCGACAUCCAAUUGUGGCCUACAAAAUCAAUGAACACGGUGGUGCUUCAAGAAAUU
rnacentral:lncRNA from 1 species